rnacentral:rRNA from 1 species
UACAGAGGGGGCAAGCGUUGUUCGGAAUUACUGGGCGUAAAGGGCGCGUAGGCGGCCUUCUAAGUCGAACGUGAAAUCCCCGGGCUCAACCCGGAACUGCGUCCGAUACUGGAAGGCUUGAAUCCGGGAGAGGGAUGCAGAAUUCCAGGUGUAGCGGUGAAAUGCGUAGAUAUCUGGAGGAAUACCGGUGGCGAAGGCGGCAUCCUGGACCGGCAUUGACGCUGAGGCGGCGAAAGCUAG